GUCACGAUAGCGCAAUGGUAGCGUGUUACAGUCCAUCUCUGCUUGUGCAAACAAAUGACACAUUGACAGCUGAUAGAGAUAUCUCGGUUCGAGUCCGGGUCGAGCUACGACU
rnacentral:tRNA from 1 species